AUGAAGUACACACUCUGUAAGAUAAAGGUAAUGAGAGGCAUAUUUAUUGGGAAGAUAAAGAAGCUUAUGUUUGCAGGCCUCACGCCUGCCUGGGGCAGCUUGCCUGCCUAGGACCCCAUUCAAGGCCCUGGAAAUAACCCAACAAUGGGCUCACUUGGUCCUGCCACUUUUGUAAAAUUUGCAGAGGUAAGGCUGAUUUUUACUCAGUAAAGACUGCUCUCUCUUUUUCCUCUCUGAUUUCCUGUCCAUCUUACUUCUUCUGAUGGGUAGCAUUAGAGUGCCCAGGGAUGUUUUUGGAUCCAACUAAGGCAAAGGUUGAAGUGAUUCACUGUCACUUUCAUACAGCAUUAAGUUAUCCAUAUGCAUGUAGAAAUAGCUUUCUGGAAAACUGCUCCAAACCUGUAUCAACUACCCAUAAUUCAGGCCACAAAAAUGUAGUGCCAGAGGUGGUAUCUUGAUAGAAGCAAAUUCCAUGGUAUUGUGUGCAUGUCGGUAGUGGCGUCUAAACAUUAUUUUAAAUAGAUGGUGUGAGAAUAUGAUCUGUAUUAGUUUUUGUGUUUUGUGGUGCUCUUGGAUUUGUCACCUUUUAAAAAAUUAAAGUGUUUAUUUAUUUUCAUAAAUGUCAUAAUUUUAUAUUUGUUAUAUGUAAACUUGGAUUGGAUCUGGCUAGAAAUACAAUGAUGAGCCAAAAAGAGUCAUACUCUUGCCACCCUGCAGCUUAAUGUCUAAAAGACAAAAUAUAGGUUGAUAAAAAUAUUUACGCAAAUUUAUUUAAAAAUUUAGAAGAAAUAAAUACAGCAUAUGAGUGGGCCACAGUGCAGUGAGCACUUGCAUUAAGAGAUCUGUCUUUGUCUGAAAUGUAAAGUAUGUUUUCCAUGCAGAAUUACUGCUUGAGAAAAAAAAUGUGAAUUAGAUACCCCUCUGAAUUAACAGAUGAGACUGGCUUGAAAGAAAGGGUAAUUGCUUGAGACAAGCAGCAGAACAAGUAUGAAGAUCCUUGGAAAGGGAAAACACUUUUAUUGCUGCCUCUUAAAAUCUUUCAGAAGAAUAUCAAAUGUUUACAAUUUUCUUCCUGGCCAUUAAUUAAAUUGCAGCAAUAGAAGACUACUAAGAUAGGGAGGGCCUGUUUACUGUGCAAGAAAAUGUACUAACUAGGAUUAACUAAUCUUCUUUCCCUUUUCCCUCCCCUCCCAUCCUCUGUCAUGCCCUCCCCUCCCCUCCUCUCCCCUCCCCUCUGUCGUUCUUUCUUUUCUUUCUUCUUGCUUGCCUUCCUUUUUCCUUCUCUUUUUUCUUCAGCUAGGGUAGAAAAUAAGCUUAGUAUAGGACUCAAGGAGAACAUUAGUCUGUUUAAUACUUAUUUUCUUCAAGUUCAUUAUACAAAUUCACAAAUCGUUACAAUUUUUUGAGGCUUUUGUGUGGACAGGAAUGAUUUUGUUUUGCUACAAAUUCACCUUGUCAUCAAGGAAAGGACAAUAUUACUAGAUGUAGUCCAAGAUAUUCAACUGCACGCAAAGGUAAAAAGAUGGUCAUGAUGUUUGUACUCAAUUGCUUCAACAGCCCAAAUUUCUGAAUGGAAAUCAAACUCAGUGUGAUAUAAUAAGUAGCUUUCCUUGGGAAUAAACCAGUGUGGACUGGUUCUCCAUUUGUUCAAGUAGGAGGAAAGCCACCAUGGAAACUACUAUACCAUAAAAGCCACGAGAAAAGGGAAUGUCCCAACACUGUGUCUUGCUCAUGUUAUUCUCUCCAGAAAAUUCACUCAGCUGAAUUUUAAGAAAGCUAAAAGUUUAUGCCUGAGAGGAUUGCCACUAAAUGCCUACUACUGCACAAGCAUCCUUGCCCACAGUGUCACAUGAGAGAGUAAUCAUAAAGAACAAAACUAAAAUAUCGACUUUGUGCAAAACGCAUGUGAGAUCACUAUUAUUGAAGGGUAUUCUUUGCGGAAAAAAAUGAAUGUGGGUUUUUAUAGAAACUGUACUUUCAAUGAACGGUUUUGAAUAAAGAAAGCAAAUGAAAAGAGCAUGUACCUACAGACAAUGUUAUUUGAUUUAAAAAAGUAUUCCAUAUUUACCGUGCCUUUUCUUAUUCACAUUUUUAUUAUUACUCUCCCACAUAGUGAGACUGGAGAUUUUAUAUUCAAUGUAUGCCAUAUAUAUAAAAACAUAAUUUGAGAUAAAUAAUCUCGAAUGUAUGCCAUAUAUAUGUAUAACAUAAUUUGAGAUAUAUAAUCUUGAAUCAAAACAAGGAUAACAGUGUAGCCUGAGAAUUGGCCAUUUUUCCUAUGGUAAAAUUAAGCUAAAAUGAUGGUUUCCUCUCUGGCAAUAUUUAGCAAUUGGAUUUUUAUUUCCAUGUUUUAAAUGUUGAAAGUUCUUAAUAAAUGAAAUAUAAUGUUCAUGAUUUUGUCAAGUUACACAUACAUUUUACAGGAUUGAAAAUUAAGCAGUAUUAUAUUAGAGACAUACAACUUUAGAUAUAUGUUUAAUUCUUUCUCUUGUUUAACAAGUUUGUAUAUUAUCGGGUACACUUAUCCAGUCUACCCAGGUCAUUGCAUGUUAUAAACAAUUUUCUACAAUGUAAACUAUGUUAAAUUGUGUAUUAUGUAUAUCCUAAUUAUUUUAGUGUAUUAAGGUACAAAUUUUAAGCUGCUGCUCAACUUACAAAUGCUUUAAGUUUUCACUACUGACAAUAUGGAGGAAUAGACUACCUGAUGGACUCUUGCAGUGAAUACAACUAAGUCAUGAAUUUAUCUAGGUUAAACUGAAGAAGGAGGAGAAUGAUUAAAUUCUGUAGGCAGAAAGAAGAAAUGGAAUCCAAAGUCUAUGGGAGAUUUGCACAAUAAAUUCAAAAGCAAUGGAAUUAAGAAUGUAAACAUAUUGAUAUGUUAGUAUCAUGAGAUUCUCCUCCCUCAAAAGAAGUUUACACCUAAAAUCUUUUUUUUCCUCCGGAGAAUAAGCAGUAAAGCCACAUGGUUGAGGAGCUUCUAUGCCCAAAAUGGUGAGCUUUGGUAGCCUGGGAAGGGUCAGAGGGAAGAAAGGCCGAAGAAAGGCUACAGCAGAGAUGGUAUCAGCCAAUAAGCCAAGCAUAUUUACAAUGGAUACUGUGGUAAAAUGAUAUAUUAGUUGGGAUUCUUCAGAGGAAAAGGAAUAAUAGAAUGUGUGCGUUUGUGUGGAUAUGUUUGUACAUAUGUAUAUAUUUAUAUGGUCCUGUGCCACAUAACAAUGUUUCAAUUAAGAACAGACCACAUAUACUGUGGUGGUCCCAUAAGAUUACAAUAUGGUAUUUUUACUGUACUUGUUCUAUGCUUAGAUAUGCUUAGAUACACAAAUACUUACCACUGUGUGACAAUUGCCUACAGCAUUCAGUACAAUAACAUGCUGUACAGGUUUGUGGCCUAGGAACAACAGGCUAUACUAUAUAGCCUAGGUAUGUAGUAGGCUAUACCAUCUAGGUUUGUGUAAGCACACUCUAUGAUGUUCAUACAGUGACAAAAUCUCCUAACAAUGCAUUUCUCAGAAUGUAUUGCCAUUAUUAAGCUGUAUUCCCAUUAUUAAGCUAUACAUGAUUGUAUGUGUGUGUGUGUGGGUACAUAUAUAUAUAUAUAUAUAGAGAGAGAGAGAGAGAGAGAAAGAGAGAGAAAUCUACUUUAAGGAAUAGGCUUAUGCAAUUAUGAGGGUUGGCAACGCUAAAAUCUGCAGGCAGACAGAAGCUGAAGAACUAAAGAAGAGUUGAUGUUGCAGUUGGAUCCUAAAGGCUGUCCAGAGGUGGAAUUAUCUCUGCCUCAGAGGACCUCAGUCUUUUCUAAGGCCUUCUACUGAUUGGAUGAGGCCCACUCACAUUAUGGAAGUUAAUCUGUUUUGCUUAGAGUCUACUGAUUUAAAUGUUAAUCUCAUCUAAAAAAUAUGUUAAUAGCUCCAUCUAGAUGGGUGUUUGGCAAAAUAUCUAGGUGCCAUGGCCUAGCCAAGUUGACAGAUAAAACUAACCAUCACAGACAGGAACCGUCAGGACUGUAAAAAUUACGUUUUGGGUAUAAAUCUAUUUAAAGUAAACAAAAGUAUAAUUUCAUAGGAGCAUUUACAUAAUUAAAUUUUACAAAGCAUAGAAACAGGAGACAGAAAAUUACCAAAACUUUUUGAAAUUUAGUACUAGUUAUUUUUAAUAGUAAAUGAUAAAUAUUAUUUAUAUUUUUAAUGAUUUAUCUUAUUUAAUGAUUAUAAACUCUCAUGAAAAUUAUAGAUUCUUUGUCUCCUCCAAAUAUUUAUAGUCAUAAGCCACAUAAUGUUUCAGUUAAUGGACACUUAUAUCAUAGAGGUCUCAUGAGACUAUAAAUAACAUACUUAUUGUACCUUUUCUAUGUUUAGACCAUGCUUAGAUACACAAAUGCUUACCAUUGUAUUACAGUUGCAUACAGUACAGUAACUGCUGUACAUAAUUGUAGCCUAGGAACAAUAGGCUAUAACCUAUAGUCUAUGUGUGUAGUAUGCUACAGUGUCUAGGUUUUUUGUAAAUACACUAUAAUAUUCACACAACUAUCAAAUUAUGUAACAACUCAUUUCUCACAGAGUAUCCCCAUUGUUAAGUGAUACAUGACUGUAUCUGGAAGAUAUACUUACAUAGUAAUUAGUCAGAGGUUGAAAAUAAUCCUUAAAGAGAAUCUUGCAGUUACUUCAUACAAAGAGAUGAAUACAAGAGUGGAAUAUGUUUACGUUUUCUAGAUCGGUAGAAUUCAAAGCAGUUAUGUACACUUUCCAGGAAAUAAAAAGAAGAAAUGAAUUUUUUUUCCUUAUGUGGGGAAACUUUCUUUAUCUUGUAUAUGUUGUUACUGCUACCAUGAUUACAUCAUUUCUCUUUCAACAAUAGAAGGCAACAGUUUGAGGUUUAAAAGACA
rnacentral:lncRNA from 1 species